AUACGGGGGGUGCAAGCGUUAUUCGGAUUUAUUGGGCGUAAAGGGCGCGUAGGCGGCUUGGUAAGUCAGAUGUGAAAGCCCGGGGCUCAACCCCGGAAGUGCAUUUGAAACUAUCAGGCUUGAGUAUGGGAGAUGGAAGUGGAAUUCCUGGUGUAGAGGUGAAAUUCGUAGAUAUCAGGAGGAACACCGGUGGCGAAGGCGACUUCCUGGACCAAUACUGACGCUGAGGCGCGAAGGCGUGGGGAGCAAACAGGAUUAGAAACCCUAGUAGUCC
rnacentral:rRNA from 1 species